GUGUUCACUUUGGCAGCACAUAUACUAAAAUCAGAAUGAUACAGAGAAGAUUAGCAUGGCCCUGUGCAAGGAUGACAUGCAAAUUCAGGAAGCAUUCCAUAUUUUA